AGGGUCAAGGCUCCCCCUCUGAGGUGCGGCGGUGGGAGCAUAUAGGGUCGGGGUGUAGCGGUGGGUGCAGGUCACCGGGAUCGGGAUCCUCAUCCUCCAUCCCGACCAGACCCAGCAGGGCCACAGCCCCUGGACACCUUGCUCUGCACAGGUGACAUCCCUGCCAGAGCAUAGGGAGCGCUGGGACAUAGCUUGCAGGGCUGGAGCCACAGGAGGAGGCAGGGGCAGCUAUGCUCAGUGAAGGGAUGCAGGAAAUGGAGGUCAUCAGCACGAUGCUGCUGAAAGUAAUGGCAUCUGGGCGUGUGGAGGCCCAACUGCACCACAGCCUUGAGCAACAGGAGCGGGUGCUGGAUGAACUCCUGGACACGCAGGCCACUGCUGCCCAGCUUGUGAGAGACCUCAUGGGCACGGAGGAGAAAGUAGCCCAUCAGCUUCUGGCCAAAGAAGAGGAGUUGCAGCACUGCCUCCAGCGGGUCCAGGCUCUGGAAGCCGAUGCACAGGCAGCCACUGAGGAGGGCACAAGGCUGCAAGCCAGCAUGGCAUAUCCUUCCCUGGUGGGGUGCAGGUGGGGCCCUAUGGGUUGUGGGGAAGGGCCCAGCCACAGAGGAGGCUCCUUCACUGCCUGGCACAGCACUGUGCAUGGAGCUGGAGCAGCUGCGGGAGGAGAUGCAGCGCCUGGACCAGGAUGUGCAGGAGGAUGCCAGUGCUGUCCCACCAGCUACGUACACAGCCCAGCUGUACUAUAAGAUCAGCCGCAUCGACUGGGACUAUGAGUGUGGCCCUGUGCAGGUUAAGGGCAUUCAUUACGGUCCAGCCAUCGCACAGCCUAUCAGUAUUGACAGCAGCCAGCACUCGCGCAGCUUCGUCGCUGACUACCUGUGGAGCCUGGUGGACACAGCCUGGGCUGGGACGGGUGUGGGGAGGGCUGGGGGUCACAGUGCCCCCCAAGGGUUACCCCUUGCCAGUGCAAGUGGCUCAGGCUAAUUGCAAAGGGGUUUAUUGGUGUCAUGGUGAAAAUCAGAUCAUUAAACAGCCAGGUCCAGUC